rnacentral:rRNA from 1 species
AGGAAGUGAAUAUGUCGGCUUGAGUAACGAUAAAUGGAGUGAGAAUCUCCAUCGCCGAAAACCUAAGGUUUCCUGGGGAAGGUAAAUCCGCCCAGGGUUAGGCGGGACCUAAGGCGAGGCCGAAAGGCGUAGUCGAUGGACAGCAGGUCAACAUUCCUGCCCCGUCAUGUAAGGUUGAUCCAGCGCGACGGAUCAUGAAGCUUUGUGGGACAGUGAAGCGUCCAGGCCCUUGAGGCCGAUGCAAGGUGGAUUGGUUCCAAGAAAAACCGUCUGGUGACGAGCAUGACGCCCGUACUAAAACUGACACAGGUAGGUGUGGCGAAAAGCCUCAGGCGCUCGAGAGAACCGUUGUGAAGGAACUAGGCAAAUUGACCCCGUACGUUCGCAAUAAGGGGGCCCUCCUGGAAACAGAGGGCGCAGAGAAAAGGCUCUGGCGACUGUUUAUCAAAAACACAGCACUGUGCGAACACGCAAGUGGACGUAUACAGUGUGACGCCUGCUCGGUGCCGGAAUGUUAAGGAAGUGGGUUAGCUUCGGCGAAGCUCAUGACUGAAGCACCGGUAAACAGCGGCCGUAACUAUGACGGUCCUAAGGUAGCGAAGUUCCUUGUCGGGUAAGUUCCGACGUGCAUGAAUGGCGUAACGACUGGAGCACUGUCUCCACAACGGACUCGGUGAAAUAGUAGUGGCGGUGAAGAUGCCGCCUACCCGCAGCAAGACGGAAAGACCCCGUGGACCUUUACUGCAGGCAUAUAUUGGUCAUGGAUUGGUACUGUGUAGGAUAGGUGGGAGACGUUGAAGCCAUCAUUCCGGUGAUGGUGGAGUCAUCCUUGAAAUACCACCCUGUGUUGAUUUGUGGCCUAACCCCGAUACCCAUGAAGCUGGGCGGGGGACCAUGUAUGCUGGGCGGUUUGACUGGGGCGGUCUCCUCCUAAAAGGUAACGGAGGAGCGCAAAGGUUAGCUCAGCGCGGUUGGAAACCGCGUGUCGAGUGUAAGAGCACAAGCUAGCUUUACUGCAAGACAUACAGGUCGAGCAGUUACGAAAGUAGGCUCUAGUGAUCCUGCGAUCCCGUGUGGAAGGGUCGUAGCUCAUCGGAUAAAAGGUACCCCGGGGAUAACAGGCUUAUCGCUCCCGAGCGUCCAUAGCGGCGGAGCGGUUUGGCACCUCGAUG